rnacentral:rRNA from 1 species
UACAGAGGUCCCAAGCGUUGUUCGGAUUCAUUGGGCGUAAAGGGUGCGUAGGUGGCGAGGCAAGUCAGAUGUGAAAUCCCGGGGCUCAACCCCGGAACUGCAUUUGAAACUGCCUUGCUCGAGUACUGGAGAGGAGACUGGAAUUUACGGUGUAGCAGUGAAAUGCGUAGAUAUCGUAAGGAAGACCAGUGGCGAAGGCGAGUCUCUGGACAGUUACUGACACUGAGGCACGAAGGCCAGGGGAGCAAACAGG